UGGUAAUUUGUGUCUUAAUUUCAAAGUAAUCAGAAUUGGUGGUUUGGGGGAUAAAGGAUCUUUAAUUCUGUUCCAGACUUGUCGCUGUGCUGUCUUAGAACUACCCUUGAGUGUCUGUCUAUAAAUUGUCCACUAGGUGGCAGUCUAUCCCAGAUUGCAGGUUAGGGUUCGUAACUAUAAACCAAGCAGCCAUUGAGUGCCUGUGUCAUGGAAAAUUCCUACCGCUUGUGUGUAUUCAGCUCAAAUGGCUGAUGUCACAAUGGGACUGGUUUGAGGAAGUGCACCUCUGUAUUCUAUACUCUUUGAUUCUACUGGGGAAACUCCUGCCGAGGCCAAAUAUUUUUAAAACUGCAAAGGCUGGGUUCACUCAAUUCCACCUCUUUCCUCCUUGAAGAGAACUUUCAACAAACUAUCUCUUAGUCAACAGAAGACCUGGAAACAUGGUCCGGGGGAGUUAACACAGGUGUGUUUAGAUACACUCGAAGCUUCAUGAUGUUAUGAGUUAGGGGGUCAGAUGGUUGAGCGGUUAUGGAGCCGGGCUAUUAAUCAGAAGGCUGCCGGUUUGAUUCCCAGCUAUGCCAAAUGAUGUGUCCUCGGGAAAGGUACUCCACCCUACUUGCCUCGAGGAGAAUGUCCCUGUACUUACUGUAAGUCGCUCUGGAUAAGUGUCUGCUAAAUGUAAAUGUACAAUCUCUUGUUUUUCGAAUCUGAGUGAUCUGCAACAACAAUGGACCGAUUAGCUCUGCGGUCACAUGACAAACCCCGUGAUCCCACCUCUUCUGAGGGGUGCUGACAUGCUGUCCAAUGAGGUGAAGACUGGUCAGUGCAGUUUGUGUCAUCCCCGAUUUUGACCAAUGACGGGGCUUCUGGCUGCAGGUCAAAGGUCGAGGUGCUGGGUCUGGUUCUCAAGGAGGAAUACGUGCGUGGGCUGGCUGGGAACCUGGCAUAGGACGGCAGCUUUCAGACCUCUGAUGUGAACGUUCUCUUCAGCUCUUGAGAACAAGAGGCUUUGUCUUCUCUAUAACAACAUCUCAGACACAGAACUGGACCUCAUUUAACACGGCGACGGCUUUGUAAGGGUUGUGUGUGUGUGUGUUUGUGCUUGUUUUGUCUUGCGCCCUGAAAUUGGCGAUUGAGGUCAAUUUCCCAUUGAAUCUUCUUUCUGCCUUUCUCCUCCUCCAACAACCUGAAACCCCACACCAAGGGCCUCUCCAUUAUGCCCCCGCAGUGUGUGUGUGUGUUGUGACUGCUGCCCAAGAAUAUGCUGAAACUUGCCGCAGACCUCAAAGAGGAAAUCAGGACCCCAUCCUGGUUCUUUGUCCCCACUAACGAGGCCCCCUGCUGGGCCAGAGAGCAGACAGGACGCUGGUGACGUCCGACCUCCUGCCAGGCAGGAACCAGGCUGUCCCCCUCAGAGAUGGCCUGGCUUCACUGCCGGAAUAUCUAAAAUCCUCAAACCAUCCAAUUGGAUGAUUCUUCAUCAGGUCGUGUUCUGGUCCAAUGGAAAUGUUCCACCAAAUGGCAUUGCUUCCCAGAUACAAUACAAGUAAUGGACUGACAACACCCUGGACUGAAGACAUCUGUUUACAUUCCUUUUUGACCUUUUCAUCUAAUGGGAUUGAAGUCAUAACUAACCCCCACACAGGCUCCAGGUGUGUCCAGUCUGUGCAUGUCUAUACACAUGACUACAUAUGGGCCGAGAUCUCCAUGCGUCCUUAAAUGGACAGAUGAUGGUGGUAUGAGGGUGUGUGUGUGUUUGUGUUUACGACAGUGUAAUGCCACGUCGAUGUAGGGGCUACAUGUGAGUACCUGCCGUGUCACAUCCAUUACCAUCCUUUCUAACAAUGUUUGUAUUUUAAACACAGCACCUCCCCACUGGUCACCCCCUUUUGAUGCUCUUGUUUGGUUGCUAAGGUGUGGCGGGUGCACACAUAGACACACACCCACUCACUCACUCUCUCUCCCUCACUCACUCAAACACACAUUGUGUCAUACAAGACCUCUAUCAGUAACUUCUUAUCACACACAUACAGUCAUACUGUAUACAUAGUCAUACAUAUUCAAAAUGACAUAUUUUAAAGGUGAGAGUUAGUCUUGAUAUCUGGCAUACAUUGACAGAGGAUCUGGUUUAAUCUGGUCUGGGGGAGUUUUGACUACCAACCUGGGUGGAUUGUAAAGACAUACUGUAACUAGGUAACCUGAAAUGGGAAAAUGUCAACUCUAUUUUUGUAAUGAAUGUGGUGCAACACUGGUGUAGAUAACUACUCACACAGAAAAGACUUGCAUCCAAAAUUCUCACCCAAAACUUUCCCCAUCAACAGUGAUGGAAUGAUUUUGGAUUUGCCUUUCUGACUUUGCAUGGAUUACAUAUAUUCCCACAUACUUGUUAAUCUUGUCAUCACCCCCCCCCCCCCCCCCCCCCAAACUUCCUUCCUCUCCACACGCUAUUCCACUCACUCUUGCUCUCCUCUGUAAAUAUUAUUUGCAUAAUGCUCUUAGUCCAGUAAACAACCUCGUUCCUCAUCCUGGGUUAUCCCACGCACCAGUCUCCUGGUCAUCCAUGUGCCUGCCCUUCAGAGGACUGUUUAUUAUCAAAGAAGUGACUGUACUCAACUUAUUAUAAUCAACCACCACAACCGCAGGAAAACAGGCCGACGUGGCACGAAAGGGCGCCAGGGUUUUGGGGUUCACGAGGAGGUAGGAGUCAGUUUGUGUCUGGGUUACGGUGGUAGCUGGGAGUUCGCCCAGGAUCUGACAGCACUGGAGGGUUUGUUUGAGGGUCAGAGAGAGGUUGGAGAUGAAGAAUCUUUUAACACCAGUUUCGCCUGAGGUAGCUUUCAAUCAUGCAUGUGAAGGAUCAAAUACUGUACACACACACACACACUCGCCUUUAAAAAUACGCAGACAUUCACUCCCACCCUGACUGCAUGCCAGACCGAAUCUUAAUGAUAGCUAAUUAUUCCUGCAUUUGCCAAAGUCAGACACUAAAUUAAGAGUCAAUAUCCAGACCUCAGUCACGCAAGUCUGUCUCCAGAGACACUUACAUACACACACAUACAGACACACUCACUGAAAACAACAUCAGGUGAUAUAAACCAUGAGUUCAAUGUGACCUUUUGACCUGAGAGACAGAGAAGUUUUCUAGGCUGUUUGUCUGUUAAAAAGUUUGUUUUUGCUGGUUUAUCUUGUGGUUGCUAGGGUGGCUCCCUGGUUUCUGUGUUUAAGAUCAGUGAUUGACAGCCGGCAGUUUCACUCAUUUUUCUAAGUGUCUGUUUCUCCGAAAUGUCUCUGUCAUAAACUGAAUUUGGGAUUUAGUGUUAGAAGAGAGGCCCAAGGGUUAUCAGCAUGCAGGACACAAAUAAACUUUAAUUAAAAGACCGGCUGGAUAAGUAAACAGAUUGUCACACAAAAGAAGCAAACUUAUUAAUGGUGCGCGACUGAGUGAACUUGGGUUCAUCUAUUCACAGAUGCACAGAAAUGUGCUGUCCUGUCUGUUUGAUCAGUCCCAGUGAAACCUCUUUGUCCCGAACGUGAGAAGCAGUACCGAGAGCACAUGGCCUCUUCAUCUGCCAUCAGCGUUUGGUCCAGGAAGACUUGUCUGAACACUAACCCCUCACUCCCUGAAACUCCACUCCCUCCUUGUCAGUUCUCGCCCUGGACCCCUUCCUCACUAUGGGCCUCUGUCUAUAGUUCAUCUGGAUCACGUAGUCACUCUGAGAGAAAAUCAACAGCCUUCUAAAAGAAGAACACAACCGAACAGCCUUUGAAAGAAGAGCAUUUGAUUGCGGAACAUUAAAAGAGGAGAGAGGAUUUGUGGAGACAGAAUCCGAGGAGCGAACAUGUCGGAGACGGUGUCUUGCCUGGAGUUGCGUGCCGUGAAGGGAGACAAACAGUGAGAAGCAGAUCAGUAGGCAGACCAAACAGAUCUUAUGCAUUCCCAAGAAAACAUUCCAUAACUGGGUGCUGUGGUCACAGCCCUGGGAGGUGUGGAGCUGUCAUGAAAUUCUAGGAAGAACACCUCGGCAAUCAGAGCACAAAGAUCAAACCCGAUUGCAAAACACAGCUUCCCUAUACCUCCCUGAGGCCUACACCUACACACACAUGUACACUCACAUACACACACACUCGCCCUAAAACUGUCAUCAGAAUACCCCAGGUAUAUGACCUCUGCUCUGUGUCUUUCAGAGAAACACCUAUUCCCUUUUUUGUCAGUUUCAUGGAGCUUCCAUAGAGUUGAGUUUCACCUGGGAAACAAGGGACUGUGCGUUAUGACAGAGGGGAGAAAACAAUGAUGGUUCAAUCGAGGUCAGAUUUCUUUAUUCCAGCUCUGUUCACGAGAAAAGACGGCCCACGCCUUUAUACUGUUGUGUGCAAAUUACAGUACAAGACGGACCUUCUGCAGGUGUUCCCUGGGAUCGUCAGGGUGGAGCGUGAGGGGGCAGUGUGGGACCAGACGGGAGAGGUGAAGGGGUGUUUCUACGGCUAAAAAUAGUUUGUGAGAACCUGCAGAAGGGCGUGGCUACCUGCCCGCAGGACUGCAGGCCACACCCACUCAACUAUUUAAAGGAGGAAGGAGUCCAACAGUUUACAGACAACCAGGUUAUCUAAACGAUCCAGAUAGAGAGAUCGACAGAUAGACAGAUAGAUAGGAGAGAGUUUUAUCCAAGCAAUAGAAAACCGAGAGAUCCAGGUUGAAACAUCUCGAGACAGGAAGAAGCUUUGACGCCUGUGAGCAACAGGAGGACAAACACCGGAAGAACUCAAAGAGAAGAACCAGGCAAGUUGUUCCAGGAGAGAUCAGAAAGGAGAUCUGCAGACGUCAUGUGCUCUUCCACCUCCGAGAGUCCGUCUUGCGUUGGGGCCCUGACGGCCCCCGCAGCCCUCUGCCUCCCCGGGCCCGCUCACCCCCCACCCCCCCGCCAACGCAGCCGUCGCUCCCUCAAGGUCCUCUACCCUCCCCUGGUGAGACGCCCUCUCCCCAGGGAGGAACCAGACUCUGCUCUCCGCUGGCUCGUCCUCCUCUCCGCCCUCCUCUUCCUGCAGAUCUACACCGAGGAGACUGCCUGUGGGCCUCAGGAACUCCUGUCCCGACCCCCUCUGUCCCCCCGGCCCCAGCCCCAGCAGGGAGAGGGUUGUGUGGGCACGGCCGGGGCCUGGGGUGGGUCGAGCAUAGAGAAGCCCUGGAGGCUGCUACGGGUGCAGACAACAGACCAACUGGAGUGUGUGGUGGCGUGACUGCUUAGCCUUCAUGGUGCACACAACUAAAGACCCUGUUAGCCGGUAACUGCAGCAACACCAAGCUGACAGGAAAGCUGAAACACACAGAGACGGGAUCUGAUUGGUUCAGAGCCGUGCGCGAGCCAGAUGUUGCCAGUCUAAGGUAACUCGAUCCCCCUCUCUCCGUCAUCAGCCAAUCAGCUCUGCAUUUUAGCUGCUGUCGGCUCAGGGGCAGAAAGGGAAGAUAAGGAGGGGGAGGCAGACAGAAAGAGAGAGCUAUCCACCAGUGACUCACGUGUGUCAGAGGUAUCCCUCUCUUCCGCCCACGGAGAAAAAGAAAACACAAGCGCACCAUUGCCGGGUAGCUCAGUGUGUGAGCAUUCGAUUUCCAGCACCGUGUGUGUGUGUGUCUGGCUGAGGCUGUCUCAGAAACUCCGUUGCGUGUGCGUAUGAGCACGUGUGGACUCAGAAACACCGUGAUGCUGAUGCAGCCUCUGAUGCAGCGUCGCUGGCCAGAGCUGUUUCACUCAGCUGGUCAGUGGGGAGAGGGGCUCUUAUCACAGAUGACUGUUAUUCCACACGCACACAAAAGACAUGUCUGACUCCUGGAGACCCAUGGUAGAAAUGUGUGCUUUUUGUGGUGGGAAAUGUUUCUGUUUUGUGUGUCUGCUAAUCUUGAUUAAAUCAUCAUCAUUUGCCUUCUUCA